GCAUGUAGAUCAAGGCGUUAUUCUGCAUUCAUCCAUGAGCUAUAGUACAUCUCCGUCCCAGGGAAUUCUGAUAAUACAAGAGAACUAUCACAAAGUUGCAAUCAACUGACAUGUUCACAGAUCAUCCUCGUGUGAAGAAUCCACAUAUUCUAUUUGUACUUCCUCUUCUUCAACAUCGUCAUUGCCUGCUGAAGAAGGCUGCCCAUUGACAUCUACAUUCACACCAUUGACCUUCCU
rnacentral:misc_RNA from 1 species